rnacentral:rRNA from 1 species
AGCGGAGGAAAAGAAACUAACUAGGAUGCGCUUMGUACACGGCGAGCGAACCGCGCAAAGCCCAACUUGAAAAUCUCCCUUGGAGAAUUGUAGUCUAUAGAAGUACCCUCUGUAACGGGCGCAGCUCAAGUCUCCUGGAAAGGGGCGUCAGAGAGGGUGAGAACCCCGUAAGCUGUUGCUUUGUUGCCUCACGAGGUGCUUUCAAAGAGUCGGGUUGCUUGGGAAUGCAGCCCAAAUUUGGUGGUAAAUCCCAUCUAAGGCUAAAUAUUGGCGAGAGACCGAUAGCGAACAAGUACCGUGAGGGAAAGAUGAAAAGAACUUUGAAAAGAGAGUUAAAAAGUGCUUGAAAUUGUUGAGGGGGAAGCGUUUGAAUGCUAGAGUGCGCCUAGGCUUAUGGGUUCUUAACGGAGCUCUGUAUGCGCUAGGUGCUGGCCAGCAUGGGUUAGGCGAGCGGGAUAAACGCUGGGGUUGAUACCCGGUCUAUGCCGCUUGCUUGACCAAGGCGUGAAGACUGCCCUUGUCCUUCGGGAACUGCUAGUCUCAAGAUGCUGGCAAAAGGCUUUCAMCCGACCCGUCUUGAAACACGGACCAAGGAGUCUAACAUGUAUGCGAGUUGGUGGGUGGAAAACCCAUGAAGCGUAAGGAAACUGACUGGUGAGAUGGCCUGUGCCUGCAUCAUCGACCGACCAUGCGUUUCUGCAAAAGGUUUGAGUGCGAGCAUACCUGUUGGGACCCGAAAGAUGGUGAACUAUGCCUGAGCAGGGUGAAGCCAGGUGAAAACCUGGUGGAGGCUCGUAGAUGUGCUSACGUGCAAAUCGCUYUUCGGACUUGGGUAUAGGGGCGAAAGACUAAUCGAACCUUCUAGUA